AUUGAACGCUGGCGGCAGGCCUAACACAUGCAAGUCGAACGGUAGCACAGAGAGCUUGCUCUCGGGUGACGAGUGGCGGACGGGUGAGUAAUGUCUGGGAAACUGCCCGAUGGAGGGGGAUAACUACUGGAAGCGGUAGCUAAUACCGCAUAAUGUCGCAAGACCAAAGAGGGGGACCUUCGGGCCUCUUGCCAUCGGAUGUGCCCAGAUGGGAUUAGCUUGUUGGUGAGGUAAUGGCUCACCAAGGCGACGAUCCCUAGCUGGUCUGAGAGGAUGACCAGCCACACUGGAACUGAGACACGGUCCAGACUCCUACGGGAGGCAGCAGUGGGGAAUAUUGCACAAUGGGCGCAAGCCUGAUGCAGCCAUGCCGCGUGUGUGAAGAAGGCCUUCGGGUUGUAAAGCACUUUCAGCGGGGAGGAAGGCAAUGCGGUUAAUAACCGUGUUGAUUGACGUUACCCGCAGAAGAAGCACCGGCUAACUCCGUG
rnacentral:rRNA from 1 species